rnacentral:rRNA from 1 species
UACGAAGGGGGCUAGCGUUGCUCGGAAUCACUGGGCGUAAAGGGUGCGUAGGCGGGUCUUUAAGUCAGGGGGGAAAUCCUGGAGCUCAACUCCAGAACUGCCUUUGAUACUGAGGAUCUUGAGUUCGGGAGAGGUGAGUGGAACUGCGAGUGUAGAGGUGAAAUUCGUAGAUAUUCGCAAGAACACCGGUGGCGAAGGCGGCCAACUGGACCAGUACUGACGCUGAGGCGCGAAAGCGUGGGGAGCAAACAGG